CAGCAGCCGCGGGAAUACGUAGGUCCCGGGCGUUGUCCGGAUUUAUUGGGCGUAAAGCGAGCGCAGGCGGUUAGAUAAGUCUGAAGUUAAAGGCUGUGGCUUAACCAUAGUACGCUUUGGAAACUGUUUAACUUGAGUGCAAGAGGGGAGAGUGGAAUUCCAUGUGUAGCGGUGAGAUGCGUGGAUAUAUGGAGGAACACCGGUGGCGAAAGCGGCUCUCUGGCUUGUAACUGACGCUGAGGCUCGAAAGCGUGGGGAGCAAACAGGAUUAGAUACCCCUGUAGUCCCUGUCUCUUAUACU
rnacentral:rRNA from 1 species